rnacentral:rRNA from 1 species
AACGAACGCUGGCGGCAUGCCUAACACAUGCAAGUCGAACGAGACCUUCGGGUCGAGUGGCGCACGGGUGCGUAACGCGUGGGAACCUGCCUUUAGGUUCGGAAUAACUCAGAGAAAUUUGAGCUAAUACCGGAUGAUGUCUUCGGACCAAAGAUUUAUCGCCUUUAGAUGGGCCCGCGUUGGAUUAGCUAGUUGGUGGGGUAAAGGCCUACCAAGACGACGAUCCAUAGCUGGUCUGAGAGGAUGAUCAGCCACACUGGGACUGAGACACGGCCCAGACUCCUACGGGAGGCAGCAGUGGGGAAUAUUGGACAAUGGGCGAAAGCCUGAUCCAGCAAUGCCGCGUGAGUGAUGAAGGCCUUAGGGUUGUAAAGCUCUUUUACCCGAGAUGUUAAUGACAGUAUCGGGAGAAUAAGCUCCGGCUAACUCCGUG